CCUAUCUUCUUCUCUAUAUUCCCCCCACAACAAUAACACAAAAACAAUAACACUUUUAAUAUAUCUAACUACCUACCUACCUAUCAUCUCCUUCUCUGUAUUCCCCCCACAACAACACAGUAACAAUAACAAUAACACGUUUAAUCUAGCUAUCUGUCUGUCUGUCUGUCUGUCUGUCUACCUUUGCCCCAGGGUACUGCAGGAACACACCCGGCCCAGUGACUCCUUGCACCAGCUGGGAAAGGAGCGUUUAUUUAUUUAUUUAGCCUAAUAUUUAUAUAUAUAUAUGGCAUCGUCAGAGGUCAUGCCGUCGCUGAUCGAACAUAACCACCCUAAUAAGACACAUGACCCAUACAAGGCGCCGGUGGGCAUUUCAAUGAAACCUCGGCAAAUCUAUCCAUUUAUCUCUCUCUCUCUCUCUCUCUCUAUAUAUAUAUAUAUUCGCGUUGGAAAAGAUAAGGCAUAAUAUAGCCGAUAUAUACGGACACGAGAGAUGACAUGAAAUGAAGGGGAAACUCAGGAUAAAAGCGCCAGGGUUGGAGAGCCGGGGUUUCUUGCAAAACGAUAUAGGAGGGGAGGGUGGGUAUCCCAUUCAGGGGAGGGGGGGCGGAAGGGGGUCCCGCGGCGGCAGCAGCAGCAGCGGAUCUCCGGCAUCCGCGUCUCCUUUCGCCGCCGCCUCUUUCGCUUCUCCGCCGCCGCCGCUGUGGAGUCACGUGGGAGUCCCCGAAGUUUCCAUAGCGAGGCCUCCGGGCGUCACAUGAUGGCCACGGAUAUAAUGAAACAACAUUGUAGCGAGCGGAGCAUUGGCGGAGCGCAGCGCGGUGCGCGGGCGGGCGAGGGAGCGGGCAGCGCGCAGGAACUUUCCGGGACUGCUGCGUUUCUUUCGGCUCCUUGGCCGGGGCAACCUAACCUGCGCAGGAUCAGCGGCGGCUGCGGCAGCAAAGAAGGGGAGGGGGUGUUUUGCAGGAGACCCCCCCCCACCGUCUCAACUUUCGGACUCCCCUCUCCCAACUCCCCUUUCCGUGCGAUCUCUUUCUGUCUCUCUCUCUCUCUCUAUCUAGCCUCGGCGCAGCGCAACCCGCCUGCGUGGGAAUUGCACCUGCUUCCUUUCCACCCGAGUUUCUUUCCCCCCCCCCGCCAAUCAUCCCACUCAUCCCCUCCCCCCAACGAGUUUCUUUGGAUGGUUGUCUUUUUUUUUUUUAAUUGGGGUGGGGGGUGGGGCAAAAAAGAGAAGGACGGGGAAAGCAGCAGGGAAGAUGAUUUCGGGGAUCCGGGAACACGAUCGCCCGUGAGGGUGGGUGGGGAAGGAAGAAGGAAGGAGAAGGAGGAGGAGGAGAAGGAGAAGAAGAAGAAAAGGAAGAAGAAGAAGAAAGAAGGGUGUUGGGGUUUGGUUUUUUUUUGGCGAUUUCUGGACACGCGGGGACAUUGGUCCACUUUUAUUUUUUUAUUUCUCCCCUCUCCCACCACUCCGGGAAGGAAAAGCACGCGCGUCGUGGGGUGGCACGGACGGAGAUGGUGCACUUGGCAGGCUGUGUCUGGACUCCACAGCGCAGCAGAAUCAGAUCUGGAUAGGACUUGGAUGGGAGAUCACUGGAAAUCCCAAACUCUUCAAGAAUGGAUCGAUUCAGGUUUUUUUCUCCUUCCAACUCAUGGUGUCAUCCUGAACCAAGCAUUGUCAACUCACACUGAGGAAAAGAUUUCGCCCAGGAAAUAGCUACAUUAUGGUUUCUUAGGCAACUACCUACAAAAUCAUUUUCAAAGGACAGAAGGCUGUUAUAGAAGGCAACACGUACAGAAUUACUUCGUUGUUCUUCAUGUUUGCUUUGCUUCCCUUCAAAAACAUGUUCAUUUUUGGCACUUAAAACUCCCUUUAAAAUCCUUUAAAACUUAAGGAUGCGUUGAUCAUUGGCUGAAAAGUUGGCCUGAAUCUCAGUGAAAUCAUCAAGACUGAGUGAUCCUGCAAGGAACAAGAAUACUUCCUAAUCACCUUAACUUAAUUGGUGAGCAAUCCUGAAAUAAAAAUGACCUAUAAUUUAAAACUAUUCCAGCUGGGCAUUUCUUAAACCUGUUUUGUUGAUUUUCUCCAAUAACAUUGCCAUGAAUAGGAAAUUCAUUCUAGAAUUCUGCCACAUUUGCAAUUCAGAAGUUUAUCCUAAUGACCAUGCUAAAACAUUUGGCUACUACUUGGGUCUACUGUUUCUUUUCUGCAAAUGGUCAUAUAUAUUAUUCAUGUACUAAGUCAGCCCAACAGUUGUUUAAUUUUUUUUUCUCAACCUUUUCCAAACCGAACGGAUGGGUUCUUAGACUUACCUUAAAAAGGCAUUUGUUGUGGUUCAGGAGUACAUGUCACCAUGUAAUACUGCUCACCCUGGAGAUGUCUCCAGCUGCACUGUUGACCUUUAUAUAAAACAAGAUAUGGCAGUCCAGUGGAACAAGUUUUUUGUUUGUAGUCGGAAGGAGAGAUGCCGCCAUUUUGGAGUUUUGGAGUAUGAAGAAGAAUAAUUUUUAACUCGGAAGAUAGCUGUCAGUUUUGGUCAUCUUGUAAACAAACUCACACUGAUUCAGGAAUCUUCCAGUAGCAGAUGAAAGAAAGCUGCAACGUUCCUGACUGCAAAUGGAUUUGAUGCUUGGGAUGAUUUUAGCCACCGCCUUGUUGAGGACUAUAUGAGAGUUUGAUAGUUUAGCCCAAGUGGUGUAACUCUUCUCAGGAGGAUGUCUUGAACCAAAAGAUGAUUGUUACAAAGAUGAGAGGUGGCAAGAAAGGAAAUGGAAAAAAAAAAGAAUAUUUCAAGAUAAGAGAUGGAGGGAAAGGCAGCAUCUCAAGGAUUAAUUCCCACCCACCCCCAAAAUCAGUGCUGUAACCUGCGCUAUUAUUAGGCGGAGAUCAGAUUUAGAUCCUUCAAACUUGAAAGCCUUUUGACCUUGAUCAAGAUUGAACCUUUCGAUUACAGAAUGCAGAGCAGAAAAUCUUCCGGGUUGCUAUUCAGCAACUUGUUGACAUCCCCUGACCCUAAAUCUCAGGCUUACAUCCUGGAAGUAAUCAAUGCCAAUUCCAUGCUGCUGCAAAGGGAGCCACGUGGAGAAGCCAUCCGGAGUUGAGCACCACCAAAAAGAGCUUUACCCUUUUUUUUUAAUACUACAGUGGGUCCUGUGGGCUUGCCCUUGAGGCUCAUCACACGCAUGCUCCGGUUUCAAAACGGUCAGUUUAUCAUUCGCUGAAGAAAUGCCGUCAGGAUGGUCUCCGUCUCUGAUCCAGUUGGCCACUACAACAAGCUAGAGGAUUCAGCAGGAAACUUGUGUUUUCUAUUUAUGAAUGGGAAGAAGACCUCAUUUGCAAUUUUUUUUUUUUUUUGGUCAUCUGGAGGAGAAACUUGAGAGAAAGCAGCAUCAGCAAACCCCACGGUGCCUCCUGGCCUGGGGCAGACCCUCUCCUUCUCGUCUGACCUGGACCCCCUCGCUUGACCUGACUCGGCUUCCUUCCACCCUGAGAGCGGUUAAACGUUUCCCACAGCAAGCUCAGAACGAUAUUUGGCUUUUCCAAGAGGAUGGCGCAGGAGGAAAAAAAAAAGAACAUGGCUUUACACUUCAGGAGUCUUUACCGUCUCGGCUUCGUUGAAACGAAAAGGAAAUAGCCACCGUGCCUGAAUAUCGGUCUUCAACAACGUCCAGCUACAAGGAAGUCUUGCCUGGAGCUCCUUCAGGAAUCUGGUUUCAUAUGGUGGUUUAGAUUUAAGUACACAAUGUCUAGCACCAUUUGAAAUCAGUGUUUUUGGGGGAAGAAUGGCUACGCGUUGACCGGUUUCAGAGUCCACCUUGUGUUCUGUCCCCCCUCGCCUCCGUCCGAGCGAUGGCUUAAUUAGCCGGCACUAUCAGCUCUGGCAGCAAACUAGCGAGCGUCUGCCAAGUGUCUCUGUUAUCUCCCUCGACGCCGAUGAGUCACCCAGGAACAAACAGUACUUCAGCUCUUAGUUAAGCAGUUAAUUUGCCUGCUACGAAGAGGCAUAGCAGCUCUUGCUGCCUUUAUAUCCUGUGGGGUGUGGCUCCAUGACUCAGCACUUCCUAGGCCUGCCCCACCCCUGCUUCUGUUGUUCCCGCCUCUCCUGCCUAUGAAACCUAGGGUCCAGCCAGGCCUGACUGCCAUCAGCCGGGUCUGCAGGCGUGGCCUGGGGGGGGGAAGAGUCAGGGGACGGAGGCCUCGUUAUCUCCUCCACCUGGCCUGCCUCUGGCUCCUGGAGCUGAGCCAGGGAAGCCGGAGCUCCGGAGGUAAGUCCUGACGGCCCUUCCCCCUCACUUUCCAAGUCACUUUCUGGCAGGAGGCCCGGCUCGGGGGGCGCAGACACAACACCUUGGUUCCCAUAGGCUUCCGAUAAAAGCUUCCACGACCCAUUCGUUUACGUUGGAUUUAUUGCCUCUUUUUCACAUACAGCCUCAGCAGCACAACGGAAUUAUUUAUUAAGCCAGGUUAGGCAACUGAAAUGAAUCUCUUCCUUACAGAAAUAUACCUGCCUUCUUCGGCAAGUCAGGAAGAUGCUGGGCCUUGCAGGUGUGCGUGUUCAUGCAUACUUUUGAGAAUCUCAUUGACAGAAGAUUGCAAAUAGGAGAGAUUCAGCACGGAUUGCAAGGAAGUUUUAAUAAGCUGACUCGGCAGAAAAACCUCUUUUCCCAGAAUGGUUUCUGUGCCACAUUGUCACCUUUUAAAAAUAAAUUAAGUGAGCAAAUAUUUAGGGCUUGAUGUUCGAGGAUUCCUCCCCUCCCCCAGGUGCAUUGGUCCAGCUGCCUGGAAAUUUGUCGGAUUUGUAUCCCCAUGUAUCUUUUGGGGUCUUUGGGGAAAAGAUGGCAACUUGAGGCCUAACAGCAGGGUUUGUUCUAUUGGUAUAAUUAAUAUCCCGUUUCUUAGUUGGGGUUUAUAAAUGCCAAAGUGAGGGUGGCUCUACCAAAAUACUCAGCAGCCACGCGUGUAAAUUCAUGGAUUCGCAGAUUCCAGUGACCCCUUUAAAGGAUAACUGAUUUCUUCUGGUGUUCGGAGUCUAUUCUUCUUUCUAGCACCAUUUGAAAUCGGUUAUAGUGAUUGGGGAAUGUCGCCCUGUUGGAAGCCAGGCGGAGAACCGGUGUUGGUGGCAAAAUCCAGACGUGAAAGCUUAGUCCAGAAGGCCUCCCAUCAGCCGGCCUUUGGGAUUAUGAGAAAAAAAAAGCUGCAACUGGGACACGUUGUGGUUCUCCCGUUUGAAGGGACACAAGAAACAGCCGACACAGCGCCUCGUGGUUGUGAAACCAAUUACAAGGAAAGCUGCACUUCGCAGCAGGAUAACCGUAAGUGGAAGAUUAGGUCUCUCUUGAGUGCGCACAAAGGGAGAAAACCAGCCGUGUCUCACUCCAGGAAAACAUUCAUCGCCACGAACAGUGACUUAACAGAAUAACAGAGCUGGGAGGGACCUUGGAGGUCUUCUAGUCCAACCCCCUGGUUAGGCAGGAGAGCCUAUACCAUUUCAUGGAUGCUGCUGAGGAAGAAAGAAAAAGACUCUGGAAUAUCUCCAGCUCUAAAUUUUUUAUUUAUUUAUUUAUUUUUGUCACAACAGUAUAUACAAUCAUCAACAUAAAAAUAACUCAUCAUGAGAGAAAAGUAUAUAUAAGUAAAAGUAUAAGUAAAAGUAUGCAUAUAAUAUUAUAAUGAAGAGAACAAUAGGACAGGAACGGUAGGCACUUUUGUGCUCUUAUGCACGACCCUUAUAGUCCUCUUAGGAAUGGGGUGAGGUCAAUAGUAGACAGUUUUUGGUUGAAGUUUUUGGGAUUUUGAGUAGAGACUAUUGGUUGAAGAUUUUGGGGUUUUGAGUAGAGACUAUAGAGUCAGGUAGUAAGUUCCAAGCAUUAACAACUCUGUUACAGAAGUCAUAUUUUCUGCAAUCAAGUCUGAAGCGGUUGACAUUAAGUUUGAAUCUAUUGUUUGCUCUUGUAUUGUUGCGAUUGAAGUUUCUCUGCUUUCAAACCGUCUCACCCAGCAAAACAGUAACCACGCUCCACAAUGUGUGUGACCGGCCAAGGGGUACAGCAGGGGCCAGUUGACGUUACUUACUCCACGGAGGUGUCCCUCACCAAAGCCAUGCAGCAGGAAAGUUUCCAGCUGCACGCUAUUAUGUGUCAUUACUGUGUGGACAUUGGUAAGGCUCCUGAGGGUGUUGACAGAAGACUGAGCAGCGUAUUGCGGAAUGACGCAACCCAGCCUUUUCUACUUAGUUGCUUUUCAGAUGCGUAAAUGAAGACUCAAUCAUCCAGGCCCAAAGUAUCUAAAAGGAAGAGAGAAGGGAGGGAGGGAGGGAGAGAGAGAGAAGCAUGAUGCUCACCUUAAGAGCACAUUACAUGGAUCUGUGACCCCCCUGUGAAAAAGCUGCUGCAAAUCCUGGCUUGGUCCAGUUACACUGUGGAGUAGGCAGCAAAUAAGGUUCCCAGGUCCUCAGCGGGAACAGCUGCAGGCACAGAAGUGGCAGGAAAGUGGGAUGUUCUUUCCGUUGGGUACAAAAAAGGGGGACUUGGCUUCAUUCCCUUCCAGCCUCUCCAACCAAAACAAGAUUGGAAGAUGGCUCUUGAUUCAGGCCACAUCACCGUUUCAGAUGCUUUCAUGAUUCAGAGCUUUUCUCUGAAGAUACGAUGUGCCGUUCAAGACUUACUUCCUGCCUGCAAAGCAGAUCCUCUUGCCCUCACAAUCCUCCUGCUCCUGUUUAUACAGUAGUGGCCAAAAUUGUGAAACCUUUUGGGAAAAGGGUAUUUUCUAAAACUAGCUAAUAACACCAUUUUUGGGGGGGAGCACCAUAAAAUUAUAUCUCAAUGGAAAGAUAAUUUAAUCAAGAAUGUAACACAAUAACUUUUAUGAAGCAUUUGCUAUUAGAAUAGCAGUUACAGUAUAAAAAGGGAAAUGUAGAAAAAACGAGAUGUACAAAAAUUAUCCCCAUGUCAAUAAAUACUUGGUUGGGUAACCUUUAGCAUGAAUUACAGCCUUACAGCUUCUUCCCAUGGAGUGAACCAAGUCUUUUAGUUCUGCCGCUGUUUUAAUGUGAAACCAAGAUUGAAUGAUGGCUUCUGUUAACUAGAUUUUAUUGCCGGGUUGCUUCUGACUAACCAGUUUCUUUAGUUGGCUCCAUAGAUUUUCAUUGGGUUAAAGUCUGGGCUAUUCCCAGGCCAUUCCAGAAGUGGAAUAGGAUUCUCUUGAAACUCCAAAAAAAAAAACCAAAGUGGUGUUAUUAGCCAUCAAACACCAUAUGUAUUAACACAAUUAAUUAUUAGCCAUUAAACACCAUAUGUAUUAACACAAUAAGUGGAACGACUUGCCUGCAGAAGUUGUGAAUGCUCCAACACUUGAAAUGUUUAAGAAGAUGUUGGAUAACCAUCUGACUGAGAUGGUGUAGGGCUUCCUGCCUGGGCAGGGGGUUGGACUAGAAGGCCUCCAAGGUCCCUUCCAACUCUGUUGUUAUAUUAAACCUCAAAAAUACACUUUUCCCGAAAGGUUUCCACAAGACAAGACUGUUCUGAUGUGACUUCAGGUAGUAAUUGCAGCCUCUAGGCACAAGGGGGAGCCAGAGUUUAUAGGAGGGCCCUGAUUGUCAACUCUGCCUUUGCCUUCUUUAAGAUUAACUUGGUUUCUGUUUGUGACACCAUGGCUUGCUGAAAAUACCACAUUUUCUUGGUUUAUAUGUGUAAAUUCAUACUUUGUACAUCCGCACAACAUAUUUAGCUCUACUGAGCUGACCCAUUUUCUGAAUCCAAAUAGUCCAUUGCACAAAGCGGCAGUUCGCGCAACACAUUAAGCUACAGAUAGAUCAUCAUCAUCAUCUAAGAUUAACACUAACCUUGGUAGGUGAACCCUGGCCUGCAAACCACCACACUAUGGUUGAGUGUCAUAUAAACUAGGUCAGCGUCUUACAGCCAAGGUGGUGUUUUUUCCCCCCAAAAGGCAAUUUGACUUUCUUCUUGUGUUUUUCUUUGAAAACGUUUUGCUUCUCAUGCAAGAAGCUUCUUCAGUUCAUGACAACCAUGACCUGAUUGAGAGUCUCCAUUGACAUUUAUCCAGUGUCUAUAGGGUUGUUGUUUUUUGGCACAGUGGUGGGAAAAUUUUUGCAUCUGGGCAAAAGUUCAUUUAAGCAUCAUAUUGAUUUGAAUCCAAUUUAACUGGCAUCAGCUUUCUAAUAAUAAUAAUAAUAAUAAUUACAGAGUUGGAAGGGACCUUAUUUAUUUAUUUAUUUAUUUAUUAUUUGCAUUUCUAUACCGCCCUUCUCCGAAGACUCAGGGCGGUUUACAGCCAAGUUAAAAAGACAUAUACAAAAAUUAAAACACGCUAUAUCAAUUUAAAAAUCUGAUUCCAUUUAUUUAUUUAUUUAUUUAUUUAUUUGAUUUGAUUUGAUUUUUAUACCGCCCUUCUCCCGAAGGACUCAGGGCGGUGUACAGGCAAGAUAAAACCAGCAAUACAAAUAUACAGGUUAAAAUACCAUUUAAAAAACUUAUUUAAAAUUAGCCUGAAAUUAAAAUUACCGUAAACUAAAAACCCCGUUUAAAAAUUAAUAAAAUUUCACAUUAAAAAUCCAAUUUAAGCCAGCCCCGCGCGAAUAAAGAGAUGUGUCUUCAGUUCGCGACGGAAUGUCCAAAGGUCAGGUAUUUGACGUAGACCCAUAGGCCGAAUAUUAAAAUAACAAGUAAACUAUAAAACCAAAACUAUCAAUAAAACCACCCAUUAAAAUUACCCUUAGGCCAGCCCUGCUCGGUGAAACAAAAAGGUCUUGAGCUCACGCUUAAAGGCCCGGAGGUCGGGAAGAAGGCGUAAUCCCAGAGGUAAUUCAUUCCAUAGGGUUGGUGCCCCCACAAAGAAGGCCCUUCCCCUGGGGGCCGCCAGUUGACAUUGUUUGGCUGACGGCACCUUGAGGAGACCCUCUCUGUGAGAGCGCACAGGUUGAUGGGAGGCUAUUGGCGGCAGUAGGCGGUCCCGUAAGUAACCUGGUCCCAUGCCAUGGAGCGCUUUAAAGGUGAUCACCAACACCUUGAAUUGCACCCGGAAGACCACCAGCAGCCAGUGCAGCAUGCGCAGGAUUGGUGUUAUAUGGGAGCUACGAGACGCUCCCUCUAUCCCCCGCGCAGCCGCAUUCUGUACCAGUUGAAGUCUCCCGGUGCUCUUCAAGGGGAGCCCCAUGUAGAGAGCAUUGCAGUAAUCCAGGCGGGAAGUAACGAGGGUAUGAGUGACCGUGCAUAACUUCUUGCCCAAUCCCCUGACCAGGCAGGAAACCCUACACUAAUUGUAAUUCAACAAAACUCAGCAGGAUUUCUGGAUAGGUUUAAGGGCAAGAAUCUGUAGUGUUAUUCCCGUUUAAAAUACCUGUUUCCUAUAAUACAUGCUCCAUUGAAAAUGGUUACAGGGGCAUUGUGAAGGUACAUCAUUGUACAUGUGUCAACACAUUGGCAUCCUUGUGAUUUGCUGGAAGUACAGAUGGUUUCCAGCAUGUCCUUAGUUUGAAUUGCGCACAUUGGAGAUAGGCACACAUGGUGAAUAUUUGUUUGUGACAUUAUCUGGAAUUCGUUUCUUAAAUGUGUACAUGGCCCAACUCCCAGCAACUCUGGGCAGUUCACGAGUAGAAAAAACACACACACACACACCAAUGCAAUACUAAAAACAAAAGAUGGCAACAACCAGUGGCAGACUCACACUAUCCAAGUGAAUCUAAUCAAGGGCAUCUGAUUAAGAAGGCAGAUAAGAGGGAAGAUGAUACAGAGCUGAUCCCAGAUGGCAUGGAAAUAUAGUCGGCUAGCUUAAGACUUUAAGAACUGGGCAAGUUUUGAAACUAUAAAAGCCACAAAUCACAACCACCAUUCGAAACUUAACACACCAGGCUAUUCAAGGAAAGGACAAACACUCUUAAGACAGUGGUUCUCAACCUUUAUAGUGCUGCAACCUCUUUAAUACAAUUCCCCACGAUGUGGCGACCCCAAUCAUAAAAUUAUUUUCAUUUUGAAUUUAUCGCGCCUGAAGCCGUAUUGGCUAGCGAUCUGAACUGCUUGCGAUUGCCUUGAGGACGGAGGCAUUAAAGCGGAGACUCCUCCCCUAUUAAGUUUAUGGCGCCUGAAGCCAGAUUAGGCAGCGAUUGGGAGCGAUUGCAGCUGGCUUGAGAGGGAGACAUCAGAGCAAAGAUUUCUCUCUUUUUUAAUUCAUCGCGCCUGAAGCCGAAUUCGGCUAGCGAUUUGAAGAGCCUGCAGCUGGCUUGUGGAGUCAACCAUUGGAGCGCGAUUCUUCGACUCGCCAGUAUACUUCCCAUAUUUCCGAUGCUCUUAGGCGACCCCUGGCAAAUCGUCAUUCGACCCCCAACGGGGUCACGACCCACAGGUUGAGAACCGCUGCUCUAAGAGAAGAAGGCCUGAGUGUAAAAGAAAGUCUUUUUUUCCUACUCACAAAAUCAAAACUUGGGUCAUCUUCAGAAGCUCAGUGCAAGAAGGUUCAAGGCAAUACAAUUAAUACUAUGUAGUCUGCUGCCAUGGAAGGGUUGGUAGCCAUUCAUGAAAAUGGCUGUGACAGGUGCCCAGCUAUUUUCACUGGAAAUCGCCAGGAGGGGGGCAGUGGAAUAGAUGGCUGGAGACGCCUCAGUCACCAACCUCCUUUCAAGCUUGUGUAUUCCUCCUCCUUUGAAACAUUUUCAAAGAAAAACCCAAGAAAUUCAAGUUACCUUUUGGGGAAAAAAAGUUUCUUGGAACAAUAUCGCAUUCUCCUUGGCUACUUGAUCCCUCCUCCUGAACCCACUCCGACCAGUUCCAUUUCUCCUCCUCUUGGUUCUUCAAGCCUCAGUCUCCACCCUCCUUUAUUCUCUGCUGGCAGCCAAGAUGCUCCUGAUCUUUUGCAAUCCUCAAAUUUCUAAGAGGAAUCUCAGCCAAGCAAAGCGUGUCAGAAGUUUUGUGCUAUCUCCUUUUUAAAUUAUAUAUUUAUCGCAAUAAUAAAAUCCAGUAGAAAGAAAGAAUAGAAAGUGAAAAGUGCAAAAGAGAAAACAAGAACAGGAAGAAUAUAAUGAAGAAAGGAAAGAAAUAUAGAAAGAAGAUAGACUGUUUAGGACAGUGGUCACCAACUGGUGGUCCGUGGACCACUGGUGGUCCGUGAGAAAAUUUUGGUGGUCCACAGAAAAAUUAUUUGCAUUUUUUUUAUAUUGCACUAAAUAAGGGAUCCUCAAAGUACAGUCCAUGGGCUGGAUACAUGCAAUGAAUGAUUGUGUUGCUGCAGAGAGUCUCCAUCUUUGGGGUCUUUUUGUAUGGGUCAGAGGGGGGCAGAAAUUCCGGCUUGGGGUCUGCUUCAGCCUCCGGUUAUGGGGCUUUGGGCAAAGGCUGGAGGGAGGUGCCGCUGGUGGCGAAGAGCUGGAGGACCUUGUUCCAGUGGGACUGCAUCAUGGCCUGGAACUGACUGACCAUCUCGGCCCGCUGAGCCUCCAGGCGCUGGUACGUGGCCUUGCACGCCCACAGGUCUUCCCUCUGCUUGGAAAGCCUAUGCUCUUAGUCCUCAGUGAGGUGCUUCUGCUGAGCCUCCUCGGUCAGAUCCAAUUUGAACUGAGCCAACUUUUUCUCGUGGUGGCUGCUUAGCUUCAACUGCUUCCUACUGGGGCUCUAAGGAGCCCGGGUGGGGUGCCGAGGAGUGAUUGGCAGGGUAGUAGAGGCUGGUGAAGCACCCCUCGACAUGAGUGACAGUUGGCCACACCCACUCAGUCACAUGACCACCUGGCCACGCCCACCCAGCCGGUCAUUAGGCAGAUCAUAUUAGUGGUCCACAGGAUUUAAAAUUAUGGACUUAGUGGUCCCUGAGGUCCGAAAGGUUGGGGACCCCUGGUUUAGGAUAUGUGUGAUGUCACAAGAAGAGAGAGGAUCUAUCAGUGUCAAAGAAAUGUAGAAGCGAAAUAGUAAAAUACAUUGUAGUGGUGAUUUGUUGUUAAAGAGGCAAUGAAUAUUGGAAGAAAUGUCAAGGAUAUGGAUACAAAUUAGACAUCAGGAAGAACUUCUUGACAGUAAAAGCUGUCAAUCAGUGGUUCCCAUGUAAGGUGGUUUCUCCAUGCAGAGGCUGGAGAUCUAGUAAGGAUAUCCAAAUACAGGAGAUUAAGUCUGUAAUUCUAGGAUCCUUUGACUUUAAAGAACACCUUUUAAAACUGAUCUUGGCAGUUGAGCAAGUAAUUCAAGCUAUACCAUUUCCGCACAACCAGCAGAUUCAAUUCUGCGCACUCCGCUCAGGAAAUAUAUUGCAAAGAAAAUCAAAAUACCACUUGGGGUCUUGCCAAACUGUUCUAUUCACAUUUUCCCUCAAAUGAAGAAAUCUACUUUUGAAUUCAAUGACUUGCCGCCUGGAGAUACUCUAAACAAAUUCAUUUGCCUAUCCCGAUCCAUCCUUAUCCUUAUCUGACUCUGAAAUGGCCAUACUAGAGAGAAUAAAAUAUCAGUGAGAGAGAACGCCUUUGUAAUGGAUGCGGAGAGAUUCAAUCUUGAUUAUUUUUAAGGAUUGCCAGGACAGGCUACGUUCUAAAGAGCCAGACUGGGUUUAUUAGCAGAAGAUUAAAAGCUACGUAAACUGCAGUUACUGAAAAAAGGGUUGUCAACAACGCUGGAGAAUUCCCCUCUCACAAUACUUGACAACACAGUAUCAACAGUAGAAACCUUCAAAUUUCUGGGUUCUAUCAUAUCGCAAGAUCUCAAAUGGACAGCUAACAUCAAAAACAUCAUUAAAAAAGGACAACAAAGAAUGUUCUUUCUGCGCCAACUCAGUAAGCUCAAACUGCCCAAGGAGCUGCUGAUUCAGUUCUACAGAGGAAUUAUUGAGUCUGUCAUUUGCACCUCUAUAACUGUCUGGUUCAGUUCUGCAACCCAACAAGAAAAACACAGACUUCAGAGGAUAAUUAGAACUGCAGAAAAAUAAUUGCUACCAACCUGCCUUCCAUUGAGGACCUGUAUACUGCACGAAUCAAGAAGAGGGCCGUGAAAAUAUUUGCAGAUCCCUCGCAUCCUGGACAUAAACUGUUUCAACUCCUACCCUCAAAACGACGCUAUAGAGCACUGCACACCAGAACAACUAGACACAAGAACAGUUUUUUCCCGAAGGCCAUCACUCUGCUAAACAAAUAAUUCCCUCAACACUGUCAGACUAUUUACUGAAUCUGCACUACUAUUAAUCGUUUCAUAGUUCCCAUCACCAAUCUCUUUCCACUUAUGACUGUAUGACUAUAACUUGUUGCUGGCAAUCCUUAUGAUUUAUAUUGAUAUAUUGAUCAUCAAUUGUGUUGUAAAUGUUGUACCUUGAUGAACGUAUCUUUUCUUUUAUGUACACUGAGAGCAUAUGCACCAAUACAAAUUCCUUGUGUGUCCAAUCACACUUGGCCAAUAAAAUUCUAUUCUAUAAAAUUCUAUUCUAUUCUUACAUUGCCUAAAGGACUAUUCAGGAUUUGUUUCUGGUACAACCGUGGUCACUUCCUCUUUCCAUGCUUUUCAGUCCCUUUUAUGAACUCUAAAUUCGUACAAGAAGAACGAGGCGGGGAGGGGAAACCAUGUGGAAUGAGUUCUUCCGCCAUCCUUACUUGUUACAUCUUCAUGUGUAAAAUCAGAGGUCUCUUCUUAUUUAUUUAUUUUGUCACAACAAUAUAUGUAGGUAUCAUACAAAAAAGAUUAUAUAGUAUAUAAACACAUAUAUGAGUAAAUAUAAGGAGGUAUAAGCAUAUAUAUAUAUAGGAAGAAGAAAAGAAAAACAAUAGGACAGGAACGGUAGGCACGUUUGUGCGCUUAUGCACGCCCCUUAUGGUCCUCUUAGGAAUGGGGUGAGGUCAAUAGUAGAAAGUUUUUGGUUAAAGCUUUUAGGAUUAUGGGAAGAGACCACAGAGUCAGGUAAAGUAUUCCAAGCACUGAUGAUUCUGUUACAGAAGUCAUAUUUUCUGCAAUCUAGAUUAAAGCGGUUGACAUUAAGUUUAAAUCUAUUGGUUGCUCUUGUAUUAUUGCAAUUAAAGCUGAAGUAGUCUUUAACAGGAAGGACAUUACAAUAGAUGAUUCUGUGAGUUAAACUUAGGUCUUGUCGAAGGCGACGGAGUUCCAAGUUUUCUAAGCCUAGGAUUUCAAGUCUGGUGGGAUAAGGUAUUUUGUUGUUUUCAGAGGAAUGGAGAACUCUUCUUGUAAAAUAUUUCUGGACACGUUCAAUUGUAUUGAUGUCAGAGAUGUGGUGAGGGUUCCAAACAGGCGAUGCCCUUUUGGAAAAAAGACAGUUGAGAUACAAGAGACUGUAGAUAGUGGCAAAGAUGAGGACAAUCCAGUUUGUGAUGCCCCCUCAACUACAGAAGCCCCCCCCCUGAUGGGCUUUGGCCAGUCCCUCCCCAUCAGUCAAGAUGGUGGGGGAGGGAACAGUCUGCUCUGCACAAGGGGAGACCCAGCUUCAGGCCUACCUCCAGCGUGACUUUGGGUCAGUGGGUCUCUCUUGGCUCUAUUUCACAGGGAGUAUGUGGGAAGAGGAAGAGGAAGAGGAAAGGUUAGGUGUCUUGAGCUCCCAAAACCAAAGGCCGGAUAUAAAAAACAAGUCGGUUUCUGAUUCCAAGCUUUCCGUCCACGACAGUGAUUGGCAACUGAGAGUCCUCUACAUGAUAAGAGCAGCCAUGACAUCUUGAUGAUAAUGGCGUUACCCAUUCAGUCGUGUCUGACUCUUGGCGAUUCUCUGGGCCGGGUCCCUCCACAUCUUCCAGUCUUGCGCUACUUCUUUGAGUUCUAUGCACUGACUCGUGUCAGCUUUGAUGGUCUUCAGCCACCGAGGUCUUUUGUGACCUGGUUUCAUCAAUAACUGAGCAAAUCUUUCUUAUUUAUCCUGGCCAGGAUCCUAGCGAGUGGAAGUCCUCGCUUCUGGAUUAAAGUAGAUGGUAUGAUGUUGCCAAGACUGAAUGAGAACAGCUGGCUCUCCCCAGUGUCAUGAGCCCACUCCAUCCCACUUGGCAAAGAAGGCAUGCUUUUCCGGGUGCUUUCAGUUAGGGGUCUACAGCUGGUGGGUACCUUCUCUGCCAUGAUGCCUACCUUGUGGAGCAUUUAGCUCCUUGAAAUUAGAUUGGCCCUCCCUUGGAUUUUUCAUAAGGCCUUCAAGACCUGGAAUUGCUGCCAGGCCUGAGGCACCCCAGGACCAGUGGUGGGGUUCAGCCAGUUCGCACCACUUCGGGAGAACCAGUUGUUAACUUUCUGGGAAGUUUGGCAAACUGGUUGUUGGAAGAAAUCAUUAGGGCAGAGAACCGGUUGUUAAAUUACUUGAAUCCCACCACUGCCCAGGACCAAAGAUCUCUUCCCAUGAUUCCUUUGUUGAGGAAGCUAUUUUUAUCCUCCCUUUGCCCGGGGUUAGAAGUUUUGUGUUUUUGCUAAUUAUUACUGAGACGUUUUCUAAUUUUUUUUAUCGAUUUUAUAUUGGCUGAUUGAUUUAUUGUGCGCUGUCUAGAGCCGUCUUUGGGGGAGAUGGGCCGCAAUAUAAAUUUGAUUAACAAAUCAAUCAAUCAAUUCUUGGAGAGAGCUCUCAUGAGCAAGAUACCUAUAGUGUCUCCAGACAUAAUGGUCUCACCGGUUUUGGGGCAACAACAACAGCAACUUGUAAGAUGCUGCUGCCAUCCCAUGAAACCACACAGUGGCCUGUAAGAUUAUGUCCGUUUGGUUUGCAGUUUGAGAUCCACAACUGUAAGAUCAUAGGUUAGUAUUUGGACAUUCCCAUUUAUAAAAUAGUCUUAUUUAAUGAGCGAUGAACGUAUUGAUAUUAUUUCUGGCUUAUUCUGCAGUCGAGGAGCAAGAAGUUGGUUAACCUGCUCAGCUGAGGAAUUGGUGAAUUUCUGGAUUUUCCCCCCUCACAAUUGUAUCCAUUUUAAUCUCAGAUUCUUCCCAUUUGUAGGAAGGAAAGAUGGGUAGAUAUUGAUGAAUUCAUUAUUAAAAAUGAACCGACGAUGUUGCCAUGAAUCUAGGCCAACCAAAUUCAACAAUGACAUAUACUUCACUCACGGAGGACUAGUUUGGGGACUGUAGUUCUUGCAUUUUAAGAAGCAUAAUAGCUGCCAUAAACAUCUUCAAAAUCUGGCACUUAUUUCGCUCUUCGUGUUUCUCAACUCCAAAAAUUGCCCCCCAAAAAAGGAGGGGGGGGAGAAAUGAAAAGUCCUUCAGCCAUCAAUUUUGCAACUUCUGUAACUGGCUUAAAAGUUUGGGUGGCCUAUUAACUCCAGGCCUGAAGUGCCAAUGGCCCCUGGGACUCUGCUGCUAUUGUUAAAGACGAGAAAUCUCUCAAAAAACAGUGACCAUUUUUGUGAGCACCGCAAAGGAGCCCAGAAUUUUGCCUUCUGAAUUGGAAAAACCCAAGAUUGUAGAGCUAAGCCCUCAGAGCCAUUCGCAAUUUCAUUUUCUUCCCUGUCUUUUUAAACUUUUAAAAAGUUUAAAUUUUUAAACUCUUAUUACAAAUAAACAGAUGUGUCAAGUUCUUCUUCUUCUUUUUUUAAAGAAGCCCAACAACUUAAUAAAAAUUUCACUUGCCUCCAGCUUCCUAAUUGAUGGAAAACAAGGCGCAUUACAAUGAGGCUGGCGCUAUCUUUCCUUUUAAAACCACACCCAGGUUUUCUGAUAUGUGCAUCCAGAUGAGAUUUUGGUACAUAAGCUCCUCCAGCGUGAAUUGCAAAUCUGAGGUAAACUAGGGCUUUCUUUAAAAAGAAAUAAAAAUAUUAUCAAAACAGAUGUUUUAGAAUUUAGAUUCCAGACUCAUCCUUGCAUUUAUUGCUUCAGCUCCUGGGGGCAAUUUUUCUGUUCCUUUAUAAAUCCUAGCCGUGGAGAGACUUCACAGCCUGGACUUUCUUCUCAAACUUCGGACUUGCCGACGCCAUUCUCACCUUCAUCUUCUCCUGCUCUGAGGAUUGCACAGCCGAAGGUGAGCCUUGCACCCUAAAAGAUGGUGUUAGGAAGCGGGGGGUUUUUCAGUGUGUUUGGAAUAGCUGCUGUAUAUCAUAACCCAUCCUGUACUUCUGAAUAAGUAUUCAAACUCUAAUGGAUUAUUUGGCCUGAACUGUUUGGCGGUACAUACUUUGGGGGCAAUUGGUGCUAACUGGCUUGGUGAGUUAGACCCAUUUCGUUGUUUCCUUGCCAAUCAAACCAGGUUGCAAUUCAGAAAAUAAUUCAGAGAAAUAAGCUCUACAUAGGAGCAUCUCGGUUUUCCAGGACCGUGCAAGUUAAAGGCUGGGUUUCUAUAACAGGCUUGUUUGAUAGCUUGCUUUUUAUUUUAUUUUAUUUAUUUAUUUAUUUAUUUGUCACAACAAUAUAUAUAAGCAUCACAUAAAAAGAUUAUGUAGUAUAUAAACAUAUAUAUGAGGUAAUAUAAGGAAGUAUAAGCAUAUAUAUAUAUAUAAGAAGAAAAAAGAAACAAACAAUAGGACAGGAACGGUAGGCACAUUUAGUCCUCUUAGGAAUGGGGUGAGGUCAAUAGUAGAAAGUUUUUGGUUAAAAACUUUCUACUAUCAACUUUCUGGACACUGAUUAGAACUUUUGGGAUUAUGGGAAGAGACCACAGAGUCAGGUAAUGUGUUCCAAGCACUGAUAACUCUGUUACAGAAGUCAUAUUUUCUGCAAUCUAGAUUAGAGCGGUUAACAUUAAGUUUGAAUCUAUUGGUUGCUCUUGUAUUAUUGCAAUUGAAGCUGAAGGUUUCCCACAGGAUACCCUGAAUCAGAAACUCCGUUGAACAUAUUAAGCCACAAGAAAGCUAACCAAGGCUAAAAUUAACAACGCUCGCAAGUUGUACGAAUGCAGCCCAUAGAUAUUUAACUGGCCUGGUUUUGCACGUUACGGGAAGCAAGCUGUAGAACUAGGAUGGGUGAGUUGGGGCUUAGUUUGGGGCAUCCAGAAUGAGUGACAGUUCAAUUCCAGGUGAACCUUAAAAGUUAGAACUUCUCUGGACACUGAUUCUCACAGUCAAAUGGUCUUUCUAUCAGGCUAUCCCCCCACCCCCCACAUGGAGUUAGUAGCUGCCUUUUGGUAACCAUUUAGGCCUAUAUCAUGGUUUGACAGAGAAUAGAUAUUUGGUCACUACGAUCUAUGUAUUUGAUUACGAUGUUAUGCAUUCAGUCACGUCUGACUUGGUGAUUCUCUGGGCCAGGUCUCUCCACGUCUUCUAAUUGUGCACCAUUGUUCCAUGCUCUGGCGGGUGUCAGCUUUGAUCUACGUAUUUAGGAAAGAUAAUACUGGGGUUCAGGAGAAAGAGUUGCUACACAGUGAAGAUCUGCUUUCCUCUACUGGUAGUAGUCCUCAAGUUACGAUCAAAACAAGAGUCCAAAAGCUAUCUUGCUAAGUGAAACAUUGGUUUCGUGAGUUUCGUCCCAUUUUAAGACUUCUUGCCACAGUUGCUAAGUGAAUCAUUGCAUUUCUUAAGUAACAACCCUAUUGUUAAGUGAAUCUGGCUUGCCCGUUGGCUUUGCUCGUCAGAAGGUUUGCAAAAGCUGAUCACAUGACCCCCAGGACCCUGCAACCGUCAUUAAGUAUGAGUCAGUUGCCAAGCAUUGGAAUUUUCAUUAUGUGACCGUGGGGAUGCUGCAAAGGUUGUAAGUCUGAAAAAUGGUCGUAAGUCACUUUUGUCAGUGCCGUCGUAAUUUUGCAUGAUCCCUAAAUGAACUGUUGUAAGCCAAGGACUAGCUGUAAUUGGAGAGUCCCUUGAACCCAUCAAUUUCCUGGUCAGGACAGGGAUCCCAAUCGAAGCACCCCAAUGGGUAUUGUCCAGCCUCUCAUGAGUGACUCCAACAAAGGGGAGGCCAACCACCCCUCUGGGUGGAGAUGGAGAACCUACAACCUCAUUGGUGGACUGUUCCUUGAUUGUGCAGCUCUUGCACUUAGGAACUUUCCCCUUAUAUGUAAAUGAAAUCCAGGGAGCUGCAGAGCUUAUUUCUACAGGCAGGGCAAUGAGAGGGAUAUGAGAUAGAUAGAUAGAUAGAUAGAUAGAUAGAUAGAUAGAUAGAUAGAUAGAUAGAUAGAUAGAUAGAUAGAUAGAUAGAUAGAUAGAUAGAUAGAUAGAUGAUGGAUUUUCUGAAUUGCAACCUGUAUAUUCAUUAUUUCUGUCUUGGUUCGUCUGAUCAUAGAAAUAAAGUUCUUGACCACCCUUCCUGAAUCCUGAUAUACUUCACAAGGGCUGGGAAAAUAUGUACAGACCCCUCACAUCCUGGACAUAAAACUGUUUCAACUCCUACUCUCAAAACGAUGCUAUAGAGCACUGCACACCAGAACAACUAGACACAAGAACAGUUUCUUCUCAGACGCCAUCACUCUGCUAAACAAAUAAUUCCCUCAACACUGUCAAACUAUUUACUAAAUCUGCACUACUAUUACUAUUAGUCUUCUCAUCGUUCCCAUCACCCAUUUCCUUCCACUUAUGACUGUAACUUUGUUGCUGGUAUCCUUAAGAUUUAUAUCCUAAUAUGAUUUGAUUGCUUAUUUGUACCCUAUGACUAUCAUCAAGUGUUCUUGAUGAAGGUAUCUUUUAUGUACACUGAGAGCAUCUGCACCAAGACAAAUUCCUUGUGUGUCCAAUCACACUUGGCCAAUAAAAAUUUCUAUUCUAUUCUAUUCUAUUCUAUUCUAUUCUAUUCUAUUCUAUUCUAUUCUAUUCUAUUCUAUUCCAUUCCAUUCCAUUCCAUUCCAUUCUAUUCCAUAUAUUCUAUUCUAUUCUAUUCUGUUCUAUUCUAUUCUAUUCCAUUCCAUUCCAUUCCAUUCUAUUCUAUUCUAUUCCAUAUAUUCUAUUC